CUCUCUCUGAUGAUGGCUGAUCGGAACCCUCCUAACUGAUCCCAACUAGCUAGACAGUCGCAUCUCCCCUUUUUCUUCUCUCUCUCCCCUUACCUCUUUGUCUCUUUCUCUUCCUCCUCUUCCUCCUCUUCUCUCUUUUCUUCUCUUUUUCUCUUCUCUCUCUUCUUCUACUCUUUAUUUUCUCGGCUCUUCUCUAUCUAUUUUCUCUACCUCUCUCUCUAUUUUGAU
rnacentral:lncRNA from 1 species